rnacentral:rRNA from 1 species
AUGAACGCUGGCGGCGUGCUUAACACAUGCAAGUCGAACGAUUAAAGCUCACUUCGGUGAGUGUAUAGAGUGGCGAACGGGUGAGUAACACGUGGGAAACCUGCCCCUUUCUUCGGGAUAACUUCGGGAAACCGUUGCUAAUACCGGAUACUCCGGGAUGGUCGCAUGGCCGACCCGGGAAAGCUUUAUGUGGAAAGGGAUGGUCCCGCGGCCCAUUAGCUUGUUGGUGGGGUAAUGGCCUACCAAGGCGGAUGAUGGGUAGCCG